GACGAACGCUGGCGGCGUGCCUAAUACAUGCAAGUCGAACGAGAGCGCCCGGUGCUUGCACUGGUCAAUCUAGUGGCGAACGGGUGAGUAACACGUGGGUAACCUGCCCAUCAGAGGGGGAUAACAUCCGGAAACGGAUGCUAAAACCGCAUAGGUCUUCGAACCGCAUGGUUUGAAGAGGAAAAGAGGCGCAAGCUUCUGCUGAUGGAUGGACCCGGGGUGCAUUAGCUAGUUGGUGAGGUAACGACUCCCCAAGGCCGUGAUGCAUAGCCGACCGGAGGGGGGGAUCGGCCACACUGGGACUGAGACACGGCCCAACCUCCUACGGGAGGCAGCAGUAGGGAGUCUUCCGCAAUGGACGCAAGUCUGACGGAGCAACGCCGCGUGAGUGAAGAAGGUUUUCGGAUCGUAAAACUCUGUUGUUAGAGAAGAACAAGUGCUAGAGUAACUGUUAGCGCCUUGACGGUAUCUAACCAGAAAGCCACGGCUAACUACGUG
rnacentral:rRNA from 1 species